rnacentral:rRNA from 1 species
AACGAACGCUGGCGGCAGGCCUAACACAUGCAAGUCGAGCGGACCCUUCGGGGUUAGCGGCGGACGGGUGAGUAACGCGUGGGAAUAUGCCCUUCUCUACGGAAUAGUCCUGGGAAACUGGGGGUAAUACCGUAUACGCCCUUUGGGGGAAAGAUUUAUCGGGGAAGGAUUAGCCCGCGUUGGAUUAGGUAGUUGGUGGGGUAAUGGCCUACCAGGCCGACGAUCCAUAGCUGGUUUGAGAGGAUGAUCAGCCACACUGGGACUGAGACACGGCCCAGACUCCUACGGGAAGCAGCAGUGGGGAAUCUUAGACAAUGGGGGCAACCCUGAUCUAGCCAUGCCGCGUGAGUGAUGAAGGCCUUAGGGUUGUAAAGCUCUUUCAGCUGGGAAGAUAAUGACGGUACCAGCAGAAGAAGCCCCGGCUAACUCCGUG